rnacentral:rRNA from 1 species
UACGUAGGGUGCAAGCGUUAAUCGGAAUUACUGGGCGUAAAGCGUGCGCAGGCGGUUAUGCAAGACAGAUGUGAAAUCCCCGGGCUUAACCUGGGAACUGCAUUUGUGACUGCAUAGCUAGAGUACGGUAGAGGGGGAUGGAAUUCCGCGUGUAGCAGUGAAAUGCGUAGAUAUGCGGAAGAACACCGAUGGGCGAAGGCAGUCCCCUGGACCUGUACUGACGCUCAUGCACGAAAGCGUGGGGAGCAAACAGG